GCCAGCAGAGUCAUUUCCGGCAGCUCUGUCGUCUUGGGGCUGGGAGGUGGUUUUCUGCCUCUUGAUCACUCACAAACAGGAGGCUCGGUCUCAGCAUGCACCGCAGCUCUCUCAUCCUCACUGCCUUCCUGGGACAACUGCUGGGUGCUGUGGGGCAGACCAUUGUCAGCCAGCAAGAAGGACAGGUCACAGUGCAGGAGAGAAACACCUUCCAGACCACCUGCACGUACCAGGCCUCCAGCUUUGAUGCUUUUCUUUGGUACCAGCAGAAGAAAGGCCAAGCUCCCCAGCUGGUCACACAUCAGGCAGCAGCAGGCUCCAAGCAGAACGGCCGUUUCACCACGUGGCUGAACACCACCGGGAAAUACAGCCUGCUGCGGCUGGCAGAAGUCGAGCUGUCUGACAGUGCCUUGUAUCUCUGUGCUGUGCAGGACACCCUGGUGCAGGGAGCUUCCUUGGCCGUGCAACAACCCCAGGGAGGGAGGAGUGGCUGUGAGCAGAGCCCAGGUGCAGCAGGAGCCGGUGGCAGAGACCAACGAGGGCAUCGGCAUCAACAUCACCUGCUCACACCCCAACAUACAGCCCGACGG